rnacentral:rRNA from 1 species
UACGGGGGGGGCAAGCGUUGUUCGGAAUUACUGGGCGUAAAGGGCUCGUAGGCGGCCAACUAAGUCAGACGUGAAAUCCCUCGGCUUAACCGGGGAACUGCGUCUGAUACUGGAUGGCUUGAAUCCGGGAGAGGGAUGCGGAAUUCCAGGUGUAGCGGUGAAAUGCGUAGAUAUCAGGAGGAACACCGGUGGCGAAGGCGGAUCUCUGGGCCUUACCUGACGCUCAGGCGCGAAAGCUAGGGGAGCGAACAGG